rnacentral:rRNA from 1 species
UGGGGAAUCUUGCACAAUGGGGGAAACCCUGAUGCAGCGACGCCGCGUGAGCGAUGAAGCCCCUCGGGGUGUAAAGCUCUUUCGGCAGGGACGAUUAUGACGGUACCUGCAAAAGCAGCUGCGGCUAACUACGUGCCAGCAGCCGCGGUAAUACGUAGGCAGCAAGCGUUGUUCGGAGUUACUGGGCGUAAAGGGUGCGUAGGCGGCUUUUUAAGUUUGGUGUGAAAUCUCCCGGCUCAACUGGGAGGGUGCGCCGAAUACUGAGAGGCUAGAGUGUGGGAGAGGAAAGUGGAAUUCCUGGUGUAGCGGUGAAAUGCGUAGAUAUCAGGAGGAACACCGGUGGUGUAAACGGCUUUCUGGACCAUAACUGACGCUGAGGCACGAAAGCGUGGGUAGCAAACA